rnacentral:rRNA from 1 species
AUGACUGAAGCAAUGGUAGAGUGUAAGAUAACUGAAGGGGUUAAGCAAGGUGCUAGGCUUGCAGACUAUUAUGAUAGUAUUACUGCAAUGGGAAUUGAUUUUUCUAGGACACCAGAGAAUGACUUACUCCUCAUUUUGCUUUAUAAAGCAAUGCCCAAAACCAAUGAGAUUGGGUUGCAGAACCAACAAAAGGUACAGGUGAAAAAAAUAGAAAGUUUCAAAAAGAAACAUAACACCAAAAGUUACAAGGGUGGAGCAUCUCAUGAGACUUCAUGUUUCUACUGCAAAGAGAUAGGACACUGGGAAAGAAAUUACUUGAAGUAUCUGGCAGAUAAGAAGAACUCGUCUUCUGGUAAAGGUAUAAAAGUCAUACAAGUUAAUGUUAUUUAUAUUCUACUUGCUAAAAAGUCCAAGUCAUGGGUAUUUGAUACCGGAUAUGUUGCUCACAUUUGCAACAUGAUGCAGGGACUACGGAAAAUUCGCAAGCUGAGUAGAAAUGAAGUCGUGAUGCGAGUCAGGAAUGGUGAUGGGAUUGUCACUCUAGCCGUCGGUGUCACGUCUUUAAGUUUACCUUCAGGAUUUUUUUAG